UUUUAUUUUUUUUUAUUUUGUAUUUAGUAAUAGUACUUCACAGAUUAAUCAAUAAUAUACAGAUGUAGCGUACUGAACAAGACGGUGUCGUACCCGUCACGGAUACGAAAUUCAAAAACGAAUACGUUCUCUUGUCAGUACGAUACGAACCGUCUCAUAAGUAAUUUUUAAUAAUAAUCAAGAAAAAUGGCGUCUUAUGUUCUUAAAUAUUUAAAAAAUUGUUCUCAAAAACUAAAGAAAUAAGAUGGAGUAUUUUAUUUGUUAUUGUUGAUUAUUAUAUUAAUUUAAGUAAUUGUUGUUAGUGUUAAAUUUUAAAAUACAUAUUAUGAAAAAAGUUUGUAUAUGCAGAUGUUAAGAAAACGCGUGACUUUUGUUUUUUUUUGUGGGUUGCACCGGCUUCCGCUUUGUAAACACUCUGUGGUUACUCUGUGUAGUAUUUAUGCUUUUUUCUUUUAUUCCUCGUAUUUUUGUAAACGUGGCUAUUGAAUGUUAUGUAUGUCAUAUACAUGCAAUGUUUUAGUAUUUCAAUAAGUCAGUUGUAAUGCAGGUAUUAUUGUUCCGACUUACGUACCUACUAUUCGUAUGCAAUUAAUGUCUGUCUAUGUUCACUAAUAGUAGACAGCACGCAAUGGCAUAUGUGUAAUAUAUUAUAUAUAGCUAACUAUGUUUUAUAAGGACGCUCGUAGCUUCUUUCCCAUUACAUCAAAGGCGACCGUUAGUCUACGAUAUAAUUCUUCGCUAAAUAAAUAUAAAAUACUGUUCUACGCUAAAUAAAUAUAAAAUAUUAUUCUACACUAAAUAAGUAUAAUAUUAUAUUCUACGCCAAAUAAAUAUAAAAUACUAUUUUAUUUGUACCUUCUGGAGACCCUUGGGCCAUAGAGUCGCAGUGCCAAAAGAUUUUACCGAAUCAUUUCACCGCGGUUUCGCGCAAAGGAUCAGCCUGGCUGUCCAGCGCGGAAAUGCAGCCAGUAUUCUUUCCACCAUUCCACGUGGGCAUGAUUUGUAUAGUUAUUAGGAUAAGUUAGCUUAUGUUCCUUAUUGUAUUCUUUCUCAAAUAAAAAAACUACUAUUUUAAAUAAAUAUAAAAUAUUAUUCUACGCUAAAUAAAUAUAAAAUAUUAUUCUACGCUAAAUAAAUAUAAAAUAUUAUUCUACGCUAAAUAAAUAUAAUAUACUAUAUAUUCUCCGAUUUAUCAAUCCGUGCGGCAACGCAACUCCGAUCAAAUUCUCGCAAUACACAUUAUAAUUCCAACUGCAUUAUUGGUGGAGGUUGAUGAUUCAGUGUACUUUCGGAUCCUUUGAGUCAUGAGGUCUUCUGUUCGAGUCCUGGGUAGGGCAAUAAUAAUAUGCAGGUUUACUUAAAACCUCAGCAAUAGGCCGUAUUUGGGAAGUUAUUAGAGUUACCUAUAUCCCUGUGCCUCGUAGAGCACGAUACACAGACCGACGGUCCCGGUAACGAUUUAUACAUUCCAUUGAAAUAUUUAUGUUUUAUGUGGGUUACCAAGAUCUUACAAAAAAUAACAAAUUUAAAAGAUUUUUUGUUGAAAAUAAAAUUAUCUACGACUUUAGUCAAGUAACUUUGUCGCAGAACUAAAAAUAACAAAUUUAGUGUAAAUCGAUAAAAGAUUAACUUUUUUUUGCAAUCAAAAAAUCAUCAGAUCUUUUUUAUAGAUUUUGAUAAAAAAAUAUUUAAGGGAUAAGUAAUUGUUAUCAAAACCAUUUUAAAUUUUUAUUAUUUACAUACAUAAUUAAGGUUUUACAUUGAAAAAAAUAAUAUGCAAACUAUUCGUAUUCGACGUAUUCAUUAUCUCCUACAAGCUCUGCAAAAGAUAGAAAAUCUCAACUAAAUAACAAGUCUUUACUCUGGUAAUAAGCUGGCAUUGGUAGCAACGGUAUCCUAGUGACCUCAGCCGAAAGUACGAGAAAAAUGGCGGCCAUCGAUCCAGACCUUGUUACUCUUACAUAACAGCCUCUGAAAAUAUAUUAUGACUGCCGGAGUAAGUCCCGCACUUACUCGUAAAAUUCUAGCACUGUAAAAGGAUCAUUUUGACAUUAGGCUAGUUGACAUCUUUUUUAAAUGGUUAAUUUAAAUCCGGGUUUAACCUGUGGGUUUAAUAGGUUUUGACGGCCGCGUGGAGCAGUGGGUAGUGACCCUGCUUUCUGCAUCUACGGUUGUGGGUUCGAUUCCUACAACUGGAAAAUAUUUGUGUGAUGAGCAUGGGUGAUUUCCAGUGUCUGUGUGUAUUUAUACAUUAUAUAAGUAUUUAUUAUGUAGUAUAUAAAUGUAUAUGAAUAUUAUAAUAUCAACUAUCCUAGUACCCAUAACACAAGCUACUCUGUAUGCUUACUUUGGGACUAGAAUGUGUAUUGUUUAAGUAUAUUUAUUUAAAAUAAAAAAUAAAAAAAAAAGUAGUGGAGUUGCAUAAGGUUGGGGAAGCUACAUCAGAAAAAAGAAACAAACUGAACUAAAAGACAUACUUAAUCAUUUGUAUGAACAAAAAUAAUAAUAACUUCUGAGAUCUUUUUCAUCAUAAUCAUUUAUCUACCAUUAAGAAAAGAUUUAAAUAAACUUAUAAGGACCGUUAAUCCGAAGGUUGCGCUUGUUUUUCAUUCACCAAUUUCUCCCAUCGUGGAUCCGUUUUUGUUACGUAAUUUAAAGGAUUACUAUCCUUGCUUUUUAUUUGGGCCAUUGACGAAAAUGUCAAGUCAACUCGCACAAGUACACUAAGUACAUGUAUUGGAUUCAAUAUUAGUUACAAAAAAAAAACAUCGGGUAGGGGGCUCGCGACAUAUUUCUUCAUACUAAAAUGGCCGUGGUACGAAUAAGGUUGAGAAACCCUGAUUUAAAUGGUUCAUAAAAAAUUGUUCAUUGUCGUUCUACUACAUUGAAAACUACCCUAUUAUAACGUCACUGCAAUCUUACCCGAGCUACAGACCCCUGGAUUUAACUGACCAGUCAAAUUGUUCAGUUAAAUCGUCUGUGUGACAAAAACUGUACAGUUAAACUGACGGACACUACCGUCAGUUUUAACUGUACAGUUUUUUGUAAUGGUUGUGAUUGAAAUUAGAUGAAACUGUACAGUUAAAACUGAAGGUCUGUAAAAGCGGUGUAUGAAUAAGAAUCAAUCUAACGUUGAAAGCGUAUCAUUUAGGAUUUAUAUUGAUAAAAUUAUUGUGUGUGUCUAUAUGGCUUGGUUUACAUUCAUAACUUGUGUCUGUAGAUAGGUCAUUAUAUUAACACGAGGACCCGAUGGUCCAGUGAUUAACCUUUCUGGCCUCGGGUUACGAAGUCCUAUGUUCAAGUCCUGUCGAGUCCGGUCAAGCUGUGAAAUAUUGAGCAUUUCUUCCAAGAAAUUGUUAGUGAAAAUCUCAGCUCGGAGUUGAUAAAUUGAUGUUACAGAGAGCACUUUUAAACAAUCGACGAGCUCUAAUGAUAGUUAAUUAAUAUCUAAUAGUCAUCAUUCAUCAUCUAAGCCCACCAUCCAGUAUUAAAACAGCGUGGUGUUCCUAAGCUCAAUAUCAUGCAUUAAAUUCAAUUAUAUGUAUUGUCGAGAAAAAUCAAUUGGCUAAAUAGUCCACGUUCUUAGUUCACGUUACGUUACGUACAAUGCAUGUGUUGUUGGUUGAUUGUUAUGUAAGGCAUUCUUCUUAGUAUUGCUUUAUAUAGCCUGUAUCCAUACACCACACUUUAAACGUAAGUACUCGAUGUAAAUGCUACUGUAUUUGUUUGAUUUAUUGCAGAAAAUAAACACAAUUUGUACCUUGUAAAAAGUGUCAAUGGAGAACUAAUUACACUCUUGAUAAAGUCAUCAGUAUUCUCUUUCAGCGCACUUUCGUUGGAGACCCCACUCGACUAUAUUUGCAGACAUUCAGUUAUUCUUCCCCACUUUCAACCCCCAAAACUUAUAAACGGCUCAACCGAUUUUCAUCAAACAUGUCUAAGAACACUCGUAAAUUGAAAUCGCUUCAUUCGUUCGGGAGCUAUGGUACCACAGACAGACUGACAGACAUGUCAAACUUAUACACCCCUCUGCAUCGGGGGCUAAAAAGGUACAAUUCUGGGAAAGGCUACCCAACGGUUUCACCUGCGUAGUUCCCGUUUCGGUGGGAAUAGCAUAUGACACUAAAAGAUAACGUGGCUUUCUAUUAAGAAAAUAAUUUUCAAAUAUAGUUCAGUAGAUCUAAAAAUUACCUUACAAACUUUACCUGUUUAGGCACAGAAUAAAGAUGAUCCAGAAUGCUCUAAACGCCAUUUGACAAGCAGCGUCGCGAAGCCGGUGAAACCCAUAAAAAAACAAACGUCACGCGUCUCCUAGACAUCUGCAUAUAUACGAAGUUUUUUCGUAAUUUGUAUUUGAAAAUUUAACAUUAACAACAAUUACGUAAAUUGGUAUAGUAAUCAAUAAUUACCAAUAAAAAUAUACUCUAUAUUACUUGUUUAGUUUUAGUGAACAAUUUUUAAAAUAUUUAAGAACAUAAGACACCAUUUUUUGUAUAAUAUUGAAAAUUACUGAUGCGACGCUUAGUGUCGUACUGACUCGAGAAUUUAUCCGUUUUAGAAUUUUGUAUUUGGAGCGCCUACGACACCGCUGUGUUCCGCGCGCUCUAUCUGCCUGUUAUUCUUUAAUCUGUUUAGGUAUUAGAUGUAAACUAUAUUGAUGGAAUGGUAAUUUAUGUUAAUUGCCAUGACAUACGCACGAGUAAUGAUUUUUAAUCGGUUCGACUCUUGGAAAGCAAAUGUGAUGUUUUUUCCAAAUGGUGUUAUAGAAACUGGCCUGACUGGACUCAUGACGUCAAACAAAAAGUCGGAUGUAAUAAUUUUCGAUUCGAUUAGAACAAGAUUUAGAGACCAUACAUACGUCUAUGGCGUACCUGCCUACAAUACGGCUAAAGCUUUUGUUACUAUAACCUUGAAAUUAAGUUCAAAAUUUAUAAAAAAAAAUCAUAUUUUCGUCAUAUUUUAAUGGCCUAUCUGAUGAAUCAUCGCCUCGGGUCUAUUCUACUAAUUUUUUUUUAUUUAUUGUAUAUCAUAAAUCAGCCUAUAUUUUUCUAGUCUCACCAAAUACAAUAACCCAAUUUCAUUCAUAAAAUAUUAAGCAACUAGCGGACGCCCGCGACUUCGUCCGCGUGGAAUUCAGUUUUUUACAAAUCCCGCGGAAACCAUGUAUUAUUCCGGGAUCAAAAGUAAAAAAACAAAUUCAGCCAAAUCCAAACAAUUAUCCAUACAAACUUUCGCAUUUAUAACAAUAAUAGGAAGUAGAAUAGGUCUUAAUUUUAUUAAUUCGUGUAGUGUACAAAUUAUAUUUUACCUCUUAUGCCCAUCUCUAAAUAUUAGCUUUUGAACCAUUAUUUUGUUAUAAGAGAAAUAUAAAAUGUUGUUGUUCAUAAUACAUCAUAGACUUGAAGUCUUGUUCAGUAGGUAAGAUACUGAACAAGACUUCAAGUCUAUGAUGUAUUCGCCCUCUGGAGACACUUGAAAAAUUCACCCGGCCGUUUAGCUGGGCUGCCUCGUAUUAUUAGUAAUGAGAACAUUCUCGGCAUCUAGAGGUCUGUAGGUAUAGAGAUGCUACAUUUUUCUUAAAAGAAAAUUAUAAUAAUUUUAGAAAAAAAGCUUUUUUUUUGUAUUUUUACCGAAUAAAAUAUUAUUCAUUCAUAAGACACUAAGGAUUAUUUUAUGGAUUUGUAAUUUAUGUAGGUACCUAUUAUUUUAUAUUUAUAGUUUAUAUUUAUAGUUUAUUCAUUUGCGUAGUCGAUGUGUCGAUUUUUCGUAAAUAUAACUCAACUUCUGUAACUUUUCAUCCCCUGCUUAACUCCAUUAGUGGUUAGUGACACCACUAAUCAAAGUUAAUUAAAAAGUUCAACAUUAUCAUCCUAAGCCCGCCAUCCAGCAUUUGAAAAGCUUGACAAGUUUAAGCUCAGUUUUCAACAAGUAGGAAUGAAAAAGGAAGAAAUUAUUGCCAAUUAGUAAUUUGAGAUGAAAUUAUAUCGACAUUAAUUAAUACAAGUUAAGGAUUUGUUGUAAAACUAAAUUAUUUAUUUAAAUUUUUUUCCAUACUUCAAAAACGCUGUUGUAGAUUUUCUGACGUCACAAUGUUAUUUGAUGUCACUAGAGGAAUAAACGCCAAACUAAGGCAUGUCGAUUUUUUUUUUUCAUUUUUUUAUUUUUUAUUCUUUACAAGUUAGCCCUUUACAAGUUAAUCUCACUUGAUGGUAAGUGAUGAUGUAAUCUAAGAUGGAAGCGGGCUAACUAGGAUGAAAAUCCACGCUCCUUUCGGUUUCUACACGACAUCGUACCGGAACGCUAAAUCGCUUGGCGGUACGUCUUUGUCAGUAGAGUGGUAAGUAGCCACGGCCGAAGCCUCCCACCAGCUAGACCUGGACCAAUUAAGAAAACCUCAAUCGCCCCAGCCGGGGAUCGAACCCAGGACCUCCGUCAUUAAAUCCACCGCGCGUACCACUGCGCUACGGAGGCCGUCAAAGGUUCUCACAGUCUAAGGUUUGGUGUUUACGGACUACGUGACGCCAUGACAUGGCCCUUUGGCUCGUAUAGAGUAAUAAAUAUUUAAAAAUUGGAAGUUUUAUGUAUUCGCGUCUCAAAAAAUUAUGAUAAUUUAUUUUCAAUCUAGCAGAACGAUACUGAAAAAUUUAAGACCAUUUAAAAAAAAAGUGUCAACAAGCCUAUUGUGGUGGUCACUUUUUUUUCUGAUUGUGUAACUGCCGUAGGCUACAUAAGGGACGUCAGCGGUGUCGGGGAGGGUAAAGGUGGACACCCUGCUUUUAAUCUGUAUUGGGUAAAAUUUGUACAAAACGCUCCUUACGUAACGUGCCGUUAAUAAAUAAUGUUCGGUAUAAAUUCCCAAUUAUUGAUUUGAGAUGAAAGCAUCAAACGUUACCGAGGUGACGAUAGAGCUUGCCGUGCGCCCUUAGGCAUUCCUCAUUCGCACGAGAACUUUUUUAACGGACGUUAAGAAAGCUUUCAAAUACAACAAAUGCAUUCACACGACAGCGUUUUUAAAACACGACGCUUUUUUCAAGUAGUGUUGCAUUUUCAAUUUUGGGCGUUUACAGACGACCUUCAUUUAAUUUCAUACUAUAUUUGAACGAAAAUAUUUGAAAAGUUAAAAUUAUGACAUAAUCUUGACCUAACAAAAGUGCUUGUAAACUAAGCCUAAUUGAAAUAAAUGAAUUUUGAAUUUUGUUACAAAACCUCUCGUGCGAAUGAGGGCUUACAAUAUGAAUAUCGAAAGAGGGUUGAUUUAUCGAGAAUAUUGAUAUGAGUAUGUUUCAUUAUUUGCCGCGCUCUUAUGUCUACACAAACCGUUUAGGGAUUUAUAACAUAAAUGGCGUAUAAUUAGAUUCGGCUCUGGCGUGUCAUUAGACUCGGCUCGUGUUAGACGUAUAAAUCACUAGCUGACGCCGCGCGGCUUCACCCGCGUGGUUCCCGUUCCUGUAAGAAUACGGGGAUAGUAUAUAGCCUGUAGCCUUCCUCGAUAAAUGGGCUAUUUAACACUGAAAGAAUUUUCCAAAUCGGACCAGUAGUUCCUGAGAUUAGCGGUCCAAACAAACAUAGCUUUUUAAAAUUAGUAUAGAUUAAUUUCAUGAAUUAACAAUUAUAUUAUUCAUGUUGGGAUUGACGUUGUGUAUAUUAAUCUAUGUAGCAUCGCAGUUUAGCAGUGCAGUCUCCAGCCGGGAUGAGUAAAAGCAUUUCACCAGCGACGAAAUUUCUUUUUAUGCAGCACGAUUUUAUAAUUAAUUGAAUUAUUUCAAUUAAAUCUUAAUUGUUGUAACAAAUUAGAGGACGAUACAGGGGCGUAGCUACCGCCGUAUCAAUGAUACGGGGUCCCCGGACUAUAGGGGCCCCUGAAAGCAAAAAUUUGUAAAAUGUAACGCACAAUUUCAUUUAAUUUGGUGCUUCCCGAAAAAAAAACAUAAAAAACUGUCUAUGAGUUUUUGCUUUGAAAAUGACAAAAGUCCAAAAACUGUCAUUUUAGAAUUUAAACUAUCGUGAGUGUUAUUCAUAUUAAUUAAUUAUGAAACACGGCUAAAACUCACGUGAUAUUAGGUCGGAAUAUGCUCGACUAGUUUCGAACCCAUACGGGGCCCUUAGUUAUGAGCUGGUUCUUGCAUCGCGGCACGAUCCAGUUUGAAUCGUAUGGGUUCGAAACUAGUCGGGCAUACUCCGACAUAAUAUCACGUGACUUUUAGCCGUGUUUCAUAAUAAAUUAAUAUCACUGUCAUAUUAAUUAUAAGUACGCAUUUUUUUUUCUUUUGUGAGAAAUCUUUACCCUUCAUUUGGGCGCCCCAACAAAUUUGGAUACAGGACCCCUCCAAGGCACGCUACGCCACUGGGACGAUACGUCACAGAUGAUGUGAAAUAGCUGGAAGUGUGACGGGUGCAGCCUUGUACAUGCAAAAACGAUACUAAUUGACCGACAAUUACUACUGUUGUGUUGCCAGUAAACAGAAUACGAGUGAAUCACAAAGUUUACAUACAUUGAAAUGUGAUUACGGUCGGAUAUUGACUGCUAAACAGGCUAGGAAAUUGAUUAAGGCAUAUUGACGACCUCCGUGGCGCAGCGGCAUGCGCGGUGGAUUUACAAGACGAAGGUCCUAGGUUCGAUCCCCGGCUAGGCUGAUUGAGGUUUUCUUAAUUGGUCCAGGUCUGGUUGGUGAGAGGCUUCGGCCGUGGCUAGUUUUUACACUACCGGCACAGAUGUACCGCCAAGCGAUUUAGCGUUCCGGUACGAUGUUGUGUAGAAACCGAAAGGGCUGUGGAUUUUUGUCCUCCUCCUAACAAGUUAGUCCGAUUUCAUCUUAGAUUGCAUCAUCACUUACCAUCAGCAGGCUGAUUAUGUAUCUCGACGUAUCACUUCUAACUGUGUAACGCAAAGCUAAAUGGAACACUAGAGUGUUUUUGCAAUUCCGAUUAUGUAAGACAAAAGACAGCCACAAUGCCUAGUGAUAUCGUUCUAGGCGCAAAAUUUUAUCGACAUUAUGCGACUAAAUAAAAUACACCCUUUCCCGGUACUACUUACUACGGGUGCGGCAUACUUUUGCACAUAUACGCAUUAUACUUGAUUUUGCUGUUUGUCUGUGGUGAAGUGAAGUGCCAUAGUUUCUUUGUUGGUAAACAAAGCCGUAUUAAAAUAUUAAUAAAAAAAUUGGUUUCGUUGGAUCAAAGUACUUGCUACUGCUAGUUUUUUGUUUUCAAUAGAAGUAAUUAAUUAAUCAUUUUAUCGUAUACAUUUUUAUUAGUGUUAAUAGUUAAUUUAUCAAAGUAAACGGCCACUUUUACAUAAAACAUUAUCUACACGAAAGUUCUUCAAAGUUUUAUCGUCUGCCUAUGAUUAAUUUAAUGGUCGUUGUGAUAAUAUGUAAAGUAUAUUUUAUAGUGUUUAUUAUUAAAGUUUAUCGCUUGCAACUAAAGAUGUCCGAGAAACUCAAUGAUCGCCAAUUGGAACUCUAAUUGGAGAUUGCAGAGUGCCACCCAAACUUGGCGAUGGGUUGUUUUGGAGGGCCUUUGGAAAGUCAGGCUACUAAAUAAACCUUCCGUGUUCGCGUCUGCCAGUGGCGUUGUAUCAACAUGAAGAUGUGGGCUCUAAACUUUGAGUGCCAGGGACUGACUAUGGAAGUCUCCAUGUCGCUGGUCACCAUUGAGGUGCAAAACACCUUGAAAAAAUUGGUGAUUCUGAAUCCUUCAUCUCUAUGAACGAUUCAUGAAGAAAGAAUUAAACAAACAUUUAAUGAACAGAUUUUUUAUAAGAUUAUUAUCAAUAAUGACAUUGCAUAUGAGAGAAAAUUGUCAAAUAUAAUUUCAUUUUAAUUUAAUAUAGUUAAUUAUGACAUCACUGUAUAUAAAGAAUAUGAUUAUUAUCAUUUGGUUAAUUUCAGUAUUACAUAGUAUUAGAUAAAAAUUUUAUUGUAAAAUUGCACAUCAAAAUAUGUUUUAUUAUCUAUUAUUAGGAGGAAAUAUUAUUUAACUAUUAUUAUUAUCCCUAAUAGCCCAGUGAAUGUGACUUCUGCCUACAAUUCCAGAGGGUGUGGGUUCGAACCCGUUCCGGGGCACGCACCUCCAACUUUUCAGUUGUGUGCAUUUUAAGAAACUAAAUAUCACGUGUCUCAAACAGUGAAGGAAAACAUCGUGAGGAAACCUGCAUACCAGAGAAUUCUCUUAAUUCUCUGCAUAUGUGAUGUCUGCCAAUGUAAUCCAAAUAUGCUGGCUCAUAUUCGGCUCCUGUCAGAAUGAGAGGGGUUAGGCAUUGGCCUUCCCUUACCUUAUCAGCCGAUAGACGUCCACUGCUGGACAUAGGCCUCUUACAUGGACCUCCAAGCACAACGACCUUGAGCCGCGAACAUCCAAACAACCGACCAACCACGCUUUCCAGUGCGGGGUCUCCCGAGUGCGGGUAGGCACUAACCCCUCUUACUGUGGGAGACUCGAGCUCAGCAGUGAGCCGAAUAUGUGUUUAUAAUGAUGAUGAUGAUGAUGAUGAUUAUUUAAGUAAUUGUAAAAGAAAAAAUUGAAUACUACAUUAGUUGUUUAUCUAUACAAUUCAAUAAUUUUAAGAACAAAACAUGUACCUACCACAUUGUAGGAAAUAAAUAAAUAAUGAUUUGAUUAAAAACAAUGUUGUUUAAUGUUAAGCAGGUAGGGCCAGGUAGUUCUAUAUUUGUGUAACAUCUAUUACUUAAAAAUAAAAAAUAUAUUUACUUGUGUUGGUAUUUUUUAUUCAGACUUGAUAUAUUGUUGUUGACAAAUUUUGUUAUAAUAUAUAUCUUUCAUUCUUUAGUUUAAUUUAAUCAAGAAACGACCCUACUUACACAUAUAGGUACCCCCUCUAACAAAAAUAGACUGAAGUAUAGGUAAAUAUUUAACAAAAAUGUAAAUUAAAAAUUAAUUAUAGAUUAAUUAAAAACAUGACUACAAUUUGAAUUAUCAACUUUAAUAAUUUGCUUCAAAAUAAAAACACAUACGCGUGGCGCAGUAAGUAGUGCUCCUGCAUCCACGGUCAUGGGUUCGAUUCCCACACCUGGAAAAUAUUUGUGUGAAGAGCAUGGGUUUUUUCCAGUGGGUGUGUAUUUAUACAUUAUAUAAGUAUUUAUAGGUAGUAUAUAAAUGUAAAUGAAUAUUAUAAUAUCAACUAUCUUAGUACCCACAACACAAGCUACUCUGUAUGCCUACUUUGGGGCUAGAUAGUGCUUUGUAUGGUUUAAGUAUAAAUAAUUAUACAGAAGGCUUGGUCACGAAAAAAUAUAUCCAGUCCUUUGUCUGCAUAGCUUGAGGGUUCUAGCAACUUGUUAUCAUGGUUUUGAGUGAGGAAUCCUUGGACAAUACUGCCAUCACAAGAAUUACUGUUUUCUGUAUCCAGCCCUUGAUCUAACAGCCAAGUGAAAGCUUCUUUAGGUGUUGGUUGAAACAUUGUUAAGCUCUUCACUUCUUCAAAAUUAUUAGUGAUUCUCCUAGAAAAAUAAAUCAUAAUGUAGGUAUACAUGGUACUGCCCAACAAGUUCUUAUAAAGUAGGUAUAUAAUAUACUGACCUGUGAUAAGUCUCCUCCUUCGGCUGCAUAGCUUGAGGGUUUAGGAAACCAGAGUUCAUGGUUUUGGAGUGAGGAAACAUUUUACAAUAUGCACCCAACUACAAGGCUCCACCGUAUUUCUGACACAGCAAUGUUGUGCAUAUCUUCAUGGGAUCUAGGAGCAGCUCCCAAGAUGGGGGUCAUCAUGCAAACAUUGGUCACCUGAAAGAAUUGAAGUGUGUAUUGCAAUGUAUUAUGUAUUUUGCCUACAUAAAAGUAACAGUUAUAUAUAAUUUAUAGUAUAUAAUUUAUAUUUGGA